UUAAGUUCAGCGGGUAUCCCUACCUGAUCCGAGGUCAAAAUUGUGAAGAUAGCUUCUGGGAGCCAAUACGACGGGCCCGAGUUCGCGUUUCUGCUGCGCUCGAAGCCAAUACACAGGCCGCCAAUGCUUUUGAGGCGAGUCCGCGCCCGAGGCGGGACAGGCGCCCAACACAAGCAGAGCUUGAGGGUUUAGAUGACGCU
rnacentral:misc_RNA from 1 species